rnacentral:snoRNA from 1 species
CUCCUCUCAGGGUCACACCUAGAGAGUUUCCAGUAUACUACCAGUCUCGACUAUGGGAGGGAGAGUCAAGCAGAGGCAUUCCCAUUCCAUUCCUAGUUUGGGCAGGAGCUAGCGAGUGGUAGGCAAUCUGCUACAAGU